rnacentral:rRNA from 1 species
ACAUCGCCUCUUGAUCAAUUAUAAGAGGUCAAGCCUGCCCAGUGACAUUGUUCAACGGCCGCGGUAUCCUAACCGUGCGAAAGUAGCGUAAUCACUUGUCCUUUAAAUAAGGACUAGUAUGAACGGCUUCACGAAGGCUAUACUGUCUCCUUAAUCUAAUCAAUUAAACUAAUCUCCCCGUGAAGAAGCGGGGAUUCGUCUAUAAGACGAGAAGACCCUAUGGAGCUUUAAACAUCUAAGACACUUGAUUUUAUCUACUAAACUUCAUGCAACCUAUCAUUUUGUCUUAAGUUUUAGGUUGGGGUGACCACGGAGAAAAAUUAAACCUCCACGUAGAAAGAAAAUUCUUUUCUAAGCAAAAAGCCACAUCUUAACGCAUCAAUAAAUUGACUUAAAUUGACCCAAUUUCUUGCUCAACGAACCAAGUUACCCUAGGGAUAACAGCGCAAUCCGCUUUAAGAGCUCCUAUCGACAAGCGGGCUUACGACCUCGAUGUUGGAUCA